UAUUGAUAAUGAUGAUGAUGAUGGUGAUGAUGGUGGAGAUGAUGAUGAUGACGACGACGACGAUGACAGCGAUAACGGCAAUAAUAACACUAAUAAUAGCAACACCAUCAUCAUCAUCAUCAUCAUCAUCAUCAUCAUCAUCAUCA
rnacentral:pre_miRNA from 1 species